rnacentral:rRNA from 1 species
AAUGAACGCUGGCGGCAUGCCUUACACAUGCAAGUCGAACGGCAGCAUGACCUAGCUUGCUAGGUUGAUGGCGAGUGGCGAACGGGUGAGUAAUGCAUCGGAACGUGCCUUUUAGUGGGGGAUAACGUAGCGAAAGUUACGCUAAUACCGCAUAUUCUCUGAGGAGGAAAGCAGGGGACCUUCGGGCCUUGCGCUAGAAGAGCGGCCGAUGUCGGAUUAGCUAGUUGGUGAGGUAAAGGCUCACCAAGGCAACGAUCCGUAGCGGGUCUGAGAGGAUGAUCAGCCACACUGGGACUGAGACACGGCCCAGACUCCUACGGGAGGCAGCAGUGGGGAAUUUUGGACAAUGGGCGCAAGCCUGAUCCAGCCAUGCCGCGUGAGUGAAGAAGGCCUUCGGGUUGUAAAGCUCUUUCGGCUGGGAAGAAAUCGCACCAUCUAAUACAGGGUGUGGAUGACGGUACCAGCAUAAGAAGCACCGGCUAACUACGUG